rnacentral:sRNA from 1 species
CUUUCUUUAUUAUGCAAGUCAAUACAGUGUCCUUUGCACCCAACAAAGCCAUUAAUUCCUUCCUUCUUAAACCAAGUUGUUUCUUACUCUUGAGUGGCAGGGUCCUGGCUCCUAAUCAAGAGACCCCGGGCAUUGUCAGAUGUCAGUAUGCGCUUACAGCCCCCUGCCUUAUUAAGGCUUUUAAUGAGAAGAUGCUGGAUCAUGGGGACCCUCUAAGCUAUACACUCUUCCCACACAGCUUUGCCCGGAUCUUCUCCCUUAAUCCUAACGUGUCAUCUGUUCCUUUAUCCACAGUAUUACCCAUUUUUUCUCAUCGUUGUGACCAGAACACUCAACAGAGUAGGUAAAUUAGAAAUAAGGGUUCACUUUGGCUUGCAGUUUAAAGUCGCCGUCCAUCAUGGUGAAGAAGAAUUAGUGCUAGGCGUGUGCGACAGCUGGUCACAAGAGAACGCAACCAGGAGGCAGAGAGAUGAACUCUGAGGAUCCACUGUCUCCUCCCUUUCCCUGUCUAACAGUCCAGGACUUCAGCUCAUGAGGUGGUGCCGCUCACAUUCAGGGUCAAUCUGACCUCUACUAUUAAAAGUCUCUGGGGCCUCUUUCAAUGGCAGUUAGAGGUGUAUGUCUCCUGUGUGAUUUCAAAUCUGGUCAAGCUGACGAUGAGCAUUAUGUUUACAGAGCACCAAUUUGAUGGGAACAGAAUCCAGCAGAUUGGAUAAGGACAUGACCUAUUGUGAGCCAGUGAGGACCCUCCAAGCUCCCCAGAGACCCUCUACACACUCUUCACACAGCUGUGCCUGGAACUGUUUCCCAUUUCCUGAAACAAACGGGAAGUCAUGAGGAAGGGAGAAGCCUGAUACCAGCAGAGGUUCAACCUGUACCGUGAUGGGAGACUCUUGCUGUCCGGCUAGGCUGUCUUGUCAUCAGCCCUCAGUUACAGUGCUGGAGGUGGAGAGAGGCUGUCCACAGUUGUGUCUUCAUGGUACAAGGAUUCUUCCAUCCUCAACCUGAGGCACUGGCUUACACAGUAGUUUUAGACCCAAGAAGACCUGGGAAGCUGGGAGACCUGACAGUGUCACCACAGGCAGGAGUCAGUCAAAGCUAUAUGCUAGUUCCACACUAGGACCACUGGUAUCUUUGUUGAUGUGUCUGCUCAGGGAUCACUGCUAGUUUAUGGGGUGCUCUGGCACCCCGUUUGCCUUCCUAGAGCCUUGCACACUACCUACAGUAGGAAUCUGUCCCCUGUCCCAGACCUUCUUCCCAUUACAAUUUCUCAUAGGAAAAUCUAGACUUUCCCUCCAUGGUCUCCUUUUCUUUUCUUUUUUCUUUUUUUUGUACCAGUUCAGUGGGUUAAGAUGAGCAGCUUCCCACGAAGGAAAAAAGAAAGCGCUAGUUUUCACUAGCCUGGGGACCAAAGAUUUAACUUUGCUGUUGUGUAUCCACUGAGUAAGCUUUCUUCUGUAGAAUAAUUUGAUGCAGAGAGAUCUCUUUAUCAACAUGACCGGAAACUGAAAUGCCCUAAACACACAGGUUUGCAGUUCUUAUUUUCCUUCUAAAGCAAACAUGGUCUAAACCAGAACAAAACCAGAAAAUCUGUCACUGUUAGACUUUCAGUAAACUAAAUUGGUUUGGCCAUUAUCUUAACCAUCCAAGCCUGUGCCUUCUCGUCUGCACACCGUAGCAAGUAGGAAUGUAUCAGAUAUCCUCCGCCUCAUCUUGAUUUCUAUAUGCUGACAGCUUAUAGCUAUACAUCCUUGCCAAAAAGAAAACUAGACAUGGUUAUACGUGUUAAAAAUAAAAUAAGAGUCUCCAAAACUCACAAAGCCCACCUUCUCCAGGAAGCCUUCCAAGAAUCAAGUAGUGAUUGAGAUAGUGAGACACUGAUAGCCUGUUGUGUUCUGAGUUCAUGUGGUUAUCAAUAAACAAUAGAAUAGUAAUAACAACAACAAUAACAAUUAUGGCAAUGCUGAAUUAAGGUGCAAAUGAAACACAGAGCUAAAAAAGUUUAGAUUUAAGUUUCCGGUUCCCUCACUUGCAUAAUCCCUACUCAAGGACCCAAAAAGGGUGCCAGCAGCAUCUUUACAAGGUCUCAUGUUCUGUAAACUUUGCUAAAGAAAAAUAUUCCCACUAAAGUCUAAGGUCUGCUGUCCCUUUUCAUGCCAACUCUCCCCUUGUCAAAGUUCACCUCUACCACAUGGCUUGGUAGUGACCAUGAGUAGAUUCACUGUCCUCCUAAGCUGAAUGGAAGAUGCAUUCGUCUGAGUUUAGUGGGUAUACUUGUGGCAUCUAGGGAAAUUCCCACUGUCCUCUGGGACAGUGUACAGAAACAAGGACAUCAACAAGUGAUUGGUGGGCACUGUUCUCUCAGAAUGAAUUGAAGAUUAAUCACAUCAUGAGACAACCUGAAGUAUUCUGAACUCUCUUAGCUCACAUGGAAAAGAGAGUCCUUAGAGGAUUUUCCAUAUUUGACCACAGCACUAAGAAUGGCUACCUCACUAUAAAUAACAAGUCAUAACACUGAAGGAAAGUUUUUCCUGGACUUUAUCAAGAGUAAGAAAUUGGCCAGCUAGGCUAGAUAAAGGCACUGGGCUAUCUUCAUAUUUUUCGUUUUUCUGAUUAACAAUAGAAAAAAAAA